rnacentral:rRNA from 1 species
CACUCUGGUUUUCUAGCAACAUAUCACAGAAUCAGAAAACUCUUUGCUUGGCCACACAUGAAGGAGGACAUCCAGAAAUUUGUGCAAACCUGUGAGGUAUGUCAGCAGGCCAAGACCGAGCACAACAAAUCUCUGGGGCUGCUCCAACCCCACAACAUUCCACCUGAAGCCUGGCACACAGUCAGCCUAGACUUCAUCGAGGGACUGCCAAAGUCGGGCAAGUUUGACGCCAUCAUGGUGGUGGUGGACAAGUUCUCGAAAGUGGGACACUUCAUUCCAUUGAAGCAUCCCUUUACUGCUGCCACGGUGGCCCGGAUAUACAUGGAUCAGAUUUAUAGGCUGCACGGUAUGCCAGAGGUGCUUAUCUCUGACAGGGAUAAAAUCUUCAUUAGCAGUUUUUGGCAACAAAUGUUCAAUUUGGCGGAUAUCACCCUCAACAUGAGCUCGUCAUAUCACCCGCAGACGGAUGGUCAAACAGAGAGGCUGAACCAAUGUUUGGAGACAUACUUGCGCUGCAUGGUACACUCCAAGCCAAGUCAGUGGGAGAAGUGGCUGCCUCAAGCGGAACAUUGGUACAACACAACUUUCCAUUCCUCUCUUGGAAGAUCACCAUUUGAAGUUCUGUAUGGGCGCUCCCCCAGAAAUUUUGGAGUACCCACAACACCAGAAGGCACAAACCCAGAUCUGGCUAGCUGGUUGGAGGAGCGCGCGGAAAUGCUGCCUCUGUUCAAACAACAUCUAGAGAGGGCCCAACAACGCAUGACUUACCAAGCCAACAAGAAACGC